AAUAAUAAUAAUAAUAAUAAAAACUUCAAAGAUCAAGGAAUUGCUUGUGACUGUUGCUACAAAUUUCCUUCCUACUAAGUGCUUAUUUGGCAUUGAGUUUGGAGAGUCAAAACUGCUUUUUUGAAUAAAAAUACUAUUUUAUGUGCUGAUGAAAAAAGCAGUUUGAAAAAAUUUGUUUUAUUAUUUUAAUAUUUUUAUAAUUAAAAUUAAUUAAAAUUAAUUUUUAAUUAAUUUUUAAUAUUUUUUAAUUAAUAU
rnacentral:misc_RNA from 1 species